rnacentral:snRNA from 1 species
AUACUUACCUGGCAGGGGAGAUACCGUGAUCACAAAGGUGGUUUUCCCAGGGUGAGGCUUAUCCAUUGCACUCCAGAUGUGCUGAACCCUGUGAUUUUCCCAAAUGUGGGAAACUCGACUGCAUAAUUUGUGGUAGUGAGGGACUGCAUUCACGCUUUCCCCUG